rnacentral:rRNA from 1 species
GACGAACGCUGGCGGCGUGCUUAACACAUGCGAGUCGAACGGAAAGGCCCGGCGUUUGUGGGUUUCUCGAUUGCCGAACAGGUGAGUAACACGCGAGUAACCUGCCCUUGACUGUCUGAUAACUUCACGAAACUGCGGCUAAUACCGGAUAUGAUCUCCUGCUGCAUGUUGGGGGUUGGAAAGUUUCGGCGGUGGUGGAUGGACUCGCGGGUUAUCAGCUGGUUAGUGGGGUAGGGGCUUACGAAGGCUUUGACGGGUAGGCUGCCUGGGAGGGUUACCGGGCACCUUGGGCCUGAGGGACGGAGCAGAAUGGUACCGGAGGCAGUAGUGGGGAAUCUUGCAGAAUGGGGGGACGCCUGAUGCAGAAAUGCCGCGUGCGGGAUGCCGGGUUUCGGGUUGUAAACAGAUUUCGCAGGUGCCGAAGAGUGCGUGACGGUACUGGGUAAAGAAGCAACGGCUAACUACGUG